GAUGAACGCUGGCGGCGUGCUUAACACAUGCAAGUCGAACGAUGAAGCUCAGCUUGCUGGGUGGAUUAGUGGCGAACGGGUGAGUAACACUUGAGUAACCUGCCCUUAACUCUGGGAUAAGCCUGGGAAACUAGGUCUAAUACCGGAUAGGAGCGUCCACCGCAUGGUGGGUGUUGGAAAGAUUUAUCGGUUUUGGAUGGACUCGCGGCCUAUCAGCUUGUUGGUGAGGUAAUGGCUCACCAAGGCGACGACGGGUAGCCGGCCUGAGAGGGUGACCGGCCACACUGGGACUGAGACACGGCCCAGACUCCUACGGGAGGCAGCAGUGGGGAAUAUUGCACAAUGGGCGAAAGCCUGAUGCAGCGACGCCGCGUGAGGGAUGACGGCCUUCGGGUUGUAAACCUCUUUCAGUAGGGAAGAAGCGAAAGUGACGGUACCUGCAGAAGAAGCACCGGCUAACUACGUG
rnacentral:rRNA from 1 species